GAACUCUAUCUCUAAGCUCUGAGAGUUUCACCCUUACUCUCACUUUGAUUCCUCCACAAAUCAAACCCCAUAACCACAGAUUUGGAAUCCCUAAGACUCAAUGAACCUGAAUAUGGUCUUGCAUGUAGCGACAGUGCACCAGGGUGCACCCCACCAUUGAAUCCGAGAGCUUCGAAGCUCCAAACUCUAACCCAGUUUUUGACGUUUUUCUCCGGUAAAACUCCGGUGAGUUUGAGACUGUGGUGUACGGACCGACCUGAACCGAUCCCAGUUUUGAGAAUCCGGCGAGGUACUCCGAGCUAAACUCGUUGAAUCCGAGGUGGAUUUGACCUCUCCUCCUUCUAAUUUGGUUUUGGGCAAGUCUCUAAACCUUGUGAGACUAAAUUCUAUGAAUUUGACAUGGUUUUUUUUUAUUGAAUUCGUGCUCGGGAAGCCCUUGAUCGUUUUUAUUGAAUUCGUGCUCGGGAAGCCCUUGAUCGUUUUUUAAUGUUCUUCUGCCGUUUUCGGCGACUUUGCCGCCAACGGUCACCGACGGACUGCUGCUGUCACUGUUAAAUUUGACGGCGACGACCACUAUUCCUUUAAACCUAACGGAGUUCCGUAACAGAAGAGGUUUAUUAGAGGAUAAAAAGAGUUUAGGCAAAGAGCCUAUUGACGAGGGAUGCUCUGCUUACCUGACAUAGCAAGAAUAAGGAGAAUACCAGAGUGACGAGUGGGCUUGGCAGUGAGGCUUUCAUUAUUUGGAUUUAGGGUGAUGGUUAAUUUACUGUGGUUUUAUCUUUAUUGUAAUAAUUGCAUGAUCGCAUUUUUAAUUAUGCACAACACUACACUUUUAUGUGUUUAUUGUUGUGCGAAACUUCUAGAUGCUCUGAUGUGAUGUGGUAAUAAUGGGAUUAAAUUCCCUAGAUAAUUUGUGUCCCCAAGUGGGGAGGUUGAUAAGUGAACUUUGAAAUUUGCUUUGGAUUUAUUAAUAAUGAACGUUUUGGUUCAAAUUCUUGCA